AGUGAACGCUGGCGGUAGGCCUAACACAUGCAAGUCGAACGGCAGCACAGUAAGAGCUUGCUCUUACGGGUGGCGAGUGGCGGACGGGUGAGGAAUACAUCGGAAUCUACUUUUUCGUGGGGGAUAACGUAGGGAAACUUACGCUAAUACCGCAUACGACCUACGGGUGAAAGCAGGGGAUCUUCGGACCUUGCGCGAUUGAAUGAGCCGAUGUCGGAUUAGCUAGUUGGCGGGGUAAAGGCCCACCAAGGCGACGAUCCGUAGCUGGUCUGAGAGGAUGAUCAGCCACACUGGAACUGAGACACGGUCCAGACUCCUACGGGAGGCACAAGUGGGGAAUAUUGGACAAUGGGCGCAAUCCUGAUCCAGCCAUACCGAGUGGGUGAAGAAGGCCUUCGGGUUGUAAAGCCCUUUUGUUGGGAAAGAAAAGCAGCAGGUUAAUACCCCGCUGUUCUGACGGUACCCAAAGAAUAAGCACCGGCUAACUUCGUG
rnacentral:rRNA from 1 species